GAUGAACGCUGGCGGCGUGCUUAACACAUGCAAGUCGAACGGUGAACGAGGGAGCUUGCUCCCUCCGGAUCAGUGGCGAACGGGUGAGUAACACGUGAGCAACCUGCCCCGGACUCUGGGAUAAGCGCUGGGAACGGCGUCUAAUACCGGAUACGAGAUUCCACCGCAUGGUGAGUUUCUGGAAAGAUUUUUUGGUCUGGGAUGGGCUCACGGCCUAUCAGCUUGUUGGUGAGGUAAUGGCUCACCAAGGCGUCGACGGGUAGCCGGCCUGAGAGGGUGACCGGCCACACUGGGACUGAGACACGGCCCAGACUCCUACGGGAGGCAGCAGUGGGGAAUAUUGCACAAUGGGCGGAAGCCUGAUGCAGCAACGCCGCGUGAGGGAUGACGGCCUUCGGGUUGUAAACCUCUUUUAGCAGGGAAGAAGCGAAAGUGACGGUACCUGCAGAAAAAGCGCCAGCUAACUUCGUGCCAGCCGCCGCCGUAAUAC
rnacentral:rRNA from 1 species